GGAUCAUUACAGAGUUUAUCAAACUCCCAAACCCCUGUGAACAUUACCUUUUGUUGCCUCGGCGGAUAGAGCUACCCUGCGCUGCCUACCCGGUUGUCCGGGUAGCCACUACCGCCGGCGGCCCCGAAACUCUUGUUAUACCUUGCAGCUCUGAAUCAAACAAACAAAUAAGUUAAAACUUUCAACAACGGAUCUCUUGGUUCCGGCAUCGAUGAAGAACGCAGCGAAAUGCGAUACGUAGUGUGAAUUGCAGAAUUCAGUGAAUCAUCGAAUCUUUGAACGCACAUUGCGCCCAUUAGUACUCUAGUGGGCAUGCCUGUUCGAGCGUCAUUUCGACCAUUAAGCCCUGUCGCUUAGCGUUGGGAGCCUACGGCGCGGCCCGUAGCUCCUCAAAGUUAGUGGCGGAGUCCGGCACGUCUCUAGGCGCAGUAAUUCUUCUCGCCUCUGCAGCGGUCCGGCCCCCUGCCGUAAAACCCCCAACUAAAUACUGGUUGACCUCGGAUCAGGUAGGAAUACCCGCUGAACUUAAGCAUAUCAAUAAGCGGAGGAAAAGAAACCAACAGGGAUUGCCCUAGUAACGGCGAGUGAAGCGGCAACAGCUCAAAUUUGAAAUCUGGCUCUCGGGCCCGAGUUGUAAUUUGUAGAGGAUGAUUUUGGCGCGGUGCCUUCCGAGUUCCCUGGAACGGGACGCCUUAGAGGGUGAGAGCCCCGUACGGUUGGACGCUAAGCCUCUGUAAAUCUCCUUCGACGAGUCGAGUAGUUUGGGAAUGCUGCUCUAAAUGGGAGGUAAAUUUCUUCUAAAGCUAAAUACCGGCCAGAGACCGAUAGCGCACAAGUAGAGUGAUCGAAAGAUGAAAAGCACUUUGAAAAGAGGGUUAAACAGCACGUGAAAUUGUUGAAAGGGAAGCAUUUAUUACCAGACCUUUUCUGCUCGGAUCAUGCGGUGUUCUCACCGCUGCACUCCGUGCAGUUUAGGCCAGCAUCGGUUUUCGCAGGGGGAUAAAAGCGGGGGGAACGUAGCUCCCUCGGGAUGUGUUAUAGCCCCUCGACAUAGUACCCCCGCGGGGACUGAGGACCGCGCU
rnacentral:rRNA from 1 species